rnacentral:piRNA from 1 species
AGCCUGGUGUGUGGUGCUAUGACACAUAUGC